GACCUCAUAGUGCACCCUUAAGGUUGCUUAUAAUGACUGUAUGAGGAUACUGCUCAACAAACCCAGGUGCUCUAGUGCAAGUGACCUGUUUUGUAAUGCAGGGGUUAGCACCUUCCAGGCAUCAUAGAGGAGUCUUAUCUACAAAUUAAUUUGUCGCCUGAACGUCUCCCAGAACAGCAUUUAUAUGCUGCUGGUAAAUCCUAGGUGUAGUGCCAUACGAUACCAAUCAUUACUAUGGAAACACUGGUAUAAGUGUCUUUUAUAAAAAUGCAGUAUUGUUGUUUCUUUUGUUUUUAUUUCUCUGUAUAUGUUUAUCUUUCUCUUUUUAAUGUAUGUUGUAUGCCAUGUGUGU